rnacentral:rRNA from 1 species
UGAGGAAUAUUGGUCAAUGGGCGCAAGCCUGAACCAGCCAUCCCGCGUGCAGGAAGACGGCCCUAUGGGUUGUAAACUGCUUUUCCAGGGGGAGAAUUUUUCUGUCGUGACAGGAAUUGACGGUACCCUGGGAAUAAGCAUCGGCUAACUCCGUGCCAGCAGCGGCGGUACUACGGAGGAUGCGAGCGUUAUCCGGAUUUAUUGGGUUUAAAGGGUGCGUAGGCGGAUAGAUAAGUCAGUGGUGAAAACCUGCAGCUUAACUGUAUACUUGCCGUUGAGACUGUCAGUCUUGAGUAUGGUCAAGGUAGGCGGAAUUUGUAGUGUAGCGGUGAAAUGCUUAGAUAUUACACAGAACACCGAUUGCGAAGGCAGCUUGCUGGGCCAUUACUGACGCUGAUGCACGAAAGCGUGGGGAUCGAACA